CCGGGUGUAGCUCAGAUGGUAGAGCGCGUGGUUUGGGACUACGAUGCCGCUGGUUCGAAUCCAGUCACUCGGA
rnacentral:tRNA from 1 species